UGUCAACUGCUGGAGUGCUGA
rnacentral:siRNA from 1 species